rnacentral:rRNA from 1 species
ACUCAAUAGAUACCCGGGUAGUCCACGCCGUAAACUAUGGCUGCUAGCUGUUAUCGGUAUCGACCCCGGUAGUAGCGAAAGCUAAACGCGUUAAGCAUCCCGCCUGUGGAGUACGAGCGCAAGCUUAAAACAUAAAGGAAUUGACGGGGACCCGCACAAGCGGUGGAGCGUGUUGUUUAAUUCGACGGUAAACGAAGAACCUUACCCAGGCUUGACAUCCUGCUAAGAUUUCCGAAAGGAAAUUGUGCCUUCGGGCCGCAGUGACAGGUGCUGCAUGGUCGUCGUCAGCUCGUGUCGUGAGAUGUUUGGUUAAGUCCAUCAACGAGCGCAACCCUUAUAGUCAGUUGGAUUUUCUGGCUAGACUGCCCCGGUAACGGGGAGGAAGGAGGGGAUGAUGUCAGAUCAUUAUUGCCCUUACGUCUGGGGCUACAAACACGCUACAAUGGCCGGUACAAAGGGCAGCAACCCGCGAGGGGGAGCAAAUCCCAUCAAAGCCGGUCUCAGUUCGGAUUGUAGGCUGAAACUCGCCUGCAUGAAGCUGGAAUC